rnacentral:rRNA from 1 species
GUGUAUGGUCUUAUCACGUUGAAUGCACUGGUCUUCGUCCGAAGUUAAGUGACGUCGAGCCUCGUUAAGCAACGUCGAGCCAUCUAAGAUGGGUGACCGCUUGAGAAACCUAGGUGCUGUAAGCA